GGACGGGUGAGUAAUGUCUGGGGAUCUGCCUGAUGGAGGGGGAUAACUACUGGAAACGGUAGCUAAUACCGCAUAAUGUCGCAAGACCAAAGAGGGGGACCUUCGGGCCUCACGCACUAGGAUGAACCCAGAUGAGAUUAGCUAGUAGGUGGGGUAACGGCUCACCUAGGCGACGAUCCCUAGCUGGUCUGAGAGGAUGAUCAGCCACACUGGGACUGAGACACGGCCCAGACUCCUACGGGAGGCAGCA
rnacentral:rRNA from 1 species